rnacentral:lncRNA from 10 species
AGUCACUGUUUCCACCUUCAACGCGCAUCCAGACAGCAGCACCGCACCCUCGCCUUUGGUCUGAAAUCACAGCCCGACUGGUGAGCUGGCACCACCUCGCAUGCUCAGUGGGUCAAUGCUAAGUGCUGGCUGCCCACAAAGCCAGCGUCUUAGAAUAGACUCAGCCUAAACAGGCGCUCACUUCCCACAGAGUUCCCAGCAGGAGGUGGCAGGUUGACACUGCAAAAUCUGAAAAUGGCUCACUAUGCAGAGACAGUGCAGGGCAGGAGUGGAGUCCGAUCUCCAGAACCAGGCUUGAAUUCUGACACUGGGACAUCCUUGCUAUGUGACUCCGACCAAUUCACUUGACCUCUCUGGACUUGGCAUAAGAAGGGGAGAAUAGAAAUAUCUGUCACAUGGGGUUGCUGUAAGGAUUGAAGUGUGCCUAUCACUAUUCAAUAUUCAAUACAUAUUAGUUUUUACUAAUCUAAAAAAUAAAAUGUAAAAAUAAGAAAGGGAGA